rnacentral:rRNA from 1 species
UACGUAGGGUGCGAGCGUUGCCCGGAUUUUUUGGGCGUAAAGGGCGCGUAGGCGGUCACGCACGUCCGUUGUGAAAUCGCUCGGCUCAACUGGGCGGGGUCAGCGGAUACGGCGUGGCUGGAGCAAGCUAGGGGGCAAUGGAAUUCCCGGUGUAGUGGUGGAAUGCGUAGAUAUCGGGAGGAACACCAGUGGCGAAGGCGGUUGCCUGGAGCUUUGCUGACGCUGAGAAGCGAAAGCAUGGGGAGCGAACAGG